GUGCCGUAGUUAACGCGUGAAGUUGGCCGCCUGGGGAGUACGGUCGCAAGAUUAAAACUCAAAGGAAUUGACGGGGACCCGCACAAGCGGUGGAUGAUGUGGAUUAAUUCGAUGCAACGCGAAAAACCUUACCUACCCUUGACAUGUCCGGAAUCCUGGAGAGAUUCGGGAGUGCUCGCAAGAGAACCGGAACACAGGUGCUGCAUGGCUGUCGUCAGCUCGUGUCGUGAGAUGUUGGGUUAAGUCCCGCAACGAGCGCAACCCUUGUCAUUAGUUGCCAUCAUUCAGUUGGGCACUCUAAUGAGACUGCCGGUGACAAACCGGAGGAAGGUGGGGAUGACGUCAAGUCCUCAUGGCCCUUAUGGGUAGGGCUUCACACGUCAUACAAUGGUCGGUACAGAGGGUUGCCAACCCGCGAGGGGGAGCCAAUCCCACAAAGCCGAUCGUAGUCCGGAUUGGAGUCUGCAACUCGACUCCAUGAAGUCGGAAUCG
rnacentral:rRNA from 1 species